UACGUAGGGGGGCAAGCGUUGUCCGGAAUCAUUGGGCGUAAAGAGCGUGUAGGCGGCUCGGUAAGUCCGCUCUGAAAGCCCGGGGGCUCAACCCCCGGGAGGCGGGCGGAUACUGUCGGGCUAGAGUCCGGAAGAGGCGAGUGGAAUUCCUGGUGUAGCGGUGAAAUGCGCAGAUAUCAGGAGGAACACCAGAGUGGCAAGGCGCUCGCUGGGACGGUACUGACGCUGAGGCGCGAAGACGUGGGGAGCAAACAGG
rnacentral:rRNA from 1 species